rnacentral:lncRNA from 1 species
ACGCGUCCCGACGAUUGGGGAGCUCGGUGGCCAGACGCUCUCCCCUCACCUCGCCUCUCCAUACCGUUUCUUUGACAAAGUCUCCAGCUUUUUCCAAAAGGUCUGACGGAGAACCGUUCCUCAUCCUUGCAGAAGGCGCGAGGAGCUCGGUUGGGGCACGCCAUCGUCCGAGCUGGAAAGGAAUCUAGGACAAUGGAGGGCUGAAGCUCCUUGCCAUGUGACUGCAUUGUGCAUUGCCUCACCUCACCCUCACCGCCGUGCGUGCGCACGCGUUGCGCCGCCGCUGCAGAGCAGCAACUUCGUCGCCUCCAUUGCCACUAGGCAGCGUCUGCGCGUAGCCCUUGCCCUGGCUGGCUGACUGCUCAGGUCCCCCCGCCAUUACUCGAUCGUACACCAGCAGCUUCGCGUCCGCGCGCUCCAGCUCAAAUUCAUCAGGUGCCGGCGUCUGCACGAUCGGGAAUCCCCGUCGCUCACCCUCUCCUCCGGCCGCCGUCCAUCUCCACUUGUGCAGUUCCCCUUCACGCGCCGCAGGCCGCACCACACCGGACCGCACCUUCUGGAACGCCCCCUCCGCCCGCGAACGCCACCGAUCAGCCACUGCGCCGCGGCGCCGCAGCAGCAGCUGCGGAAUCACCCGCUCCCGUCGAUCAUCGUUCCGCUCACCGGCCGCUUCGGCCUCCCGCUCGAGGUUGAUGCACGCUCCGCGAGCUCCUUCGGCGCCUACAAGGGUGACUGGAUCUUCCUCGCCUUCGAUAACGGCAUCAUCCACCGCGACCCUCUCUCCGCCACCGGAGAGCGAACUCCGCCUCAUCGGCAAGCGCCUCCAAAGCUUCAUCGACCAGCGUCGCGUAGGCCAAGUCCGCCGAUCCUAGCGCCCCGCCGUCGCGGAGCAGCAGCCACUGCUGGGGACGAGAUGCUGCUCCCGUUAAUCCUCAUCCCGCGCGGCUGUGCCACACCCUGGACUACGAGCACUGCGUCGCCGCCGCCACCUGACGCUGAGUCUGGCGGUGGAAUCUCUUUAUGGUGGCCAGGUUCGUUCGUCAUCCUCUUCGACGACGUUGGCGUUCAGGGUGUUCGAGAUGGUGUAGCCGCCGCCGUGGACGCCCAUGAACAAUAUUAUGAAGGCCCAGUACUCGCUGUAUGAGCAAGGCUGAUCCAGAGCCCAGAUCGACGGCAUCUACCACGAAGCAAGGGCCCUCGAACUACUCACCGUCAGUUUGGAUUUCAGAUCGUCCAGGUACUCUCAUCAGUUUUUAGUUGUUGAUCUGCAUGUCUCAUGUCUUAGUUUUACUUGAGAUGCAUGUUUCAUCUGUGCACAUGCUUUGGAUCAAAUGGAUUUGCAUUUUGCUGCGAAGAAGAAAUUGCUUCUGCAAUUUGCUUUUAGUUGCUACAAAUUAAUUUCAUAAUCACUUUGCUAUGUGUUUUCACUUGCACUGUUACAUGGUAUCAUUUGUGACCAUCUUCUUUAGUAACAUAGCCAAACAGGUCUGUUCGUAGGGGCUGUGUGUAGUCGACAGAAAAAUUUGGAACAAAAAGUUGCUGUGGAACGUGCAGAACUUCACUAGGAUGGGAGUAAGCUGGGGUGGGGGUGUUUGCUAGCGCUAGAUUGCAGCUGGGCUGCGUCUAUAGUAGCAGCAGCCGCAGCACAAGUGAUGUUGAAUUUGCUGCAGCUGCUGCUUCUGUUCGUCCCGGCCGCCUCCGUUGCCACGGCG